AGUGAACGCUGGCGGUAGGCCUAACACAUGCAAGUCGAACGGCAGCACAGUAAGAGCUUGCUCUUACGGGUGGCGAGUGGCUGACUGGUGAGGAAUACAUCGGAAUCUACUUUUUCGUGGGGGAUAACGUAGGGAAACUUACGCUAAUUCCGCAUACGAGCUACGGGUGAAAGUAGGGGAUCUUCGGAACUUGCGCGACUGAAUGAGCCGAUAUCGGAUUAGCAAGUCGUCGGGGUAAAGACGCACUAAGGCGACGAUCCGGAGCAGCUGUGAGAGGAUGAUCAGCCGCGCUAGAACUGAGACACGGUCCCGAAGCCACCGAGAGGCAGCAGUGGGGAAUAUUGGACAAUGAGCGCAAGACUGAUCAAGCCAUACCGCGUGGUUGAAGAUGAACUUCUGGUUGUAAAACCCUUUUGUUGGGAAAGAAAAGCAGCAGGUUAAUACCCCGCUGUUCUGACGGUACCCAAAGAAUAAGCACCGGCUAACUUCGUG
rnacentral:rRNA from 1 species